rnacentral:rRNA from 1 species
CUGUCUGAAUAUGGGGGGCCCAUCCUCCAAGGCUAAAUACUCCUGACUGACCGAUAGUGAACCAGUACCGUGAGGGAAAGGCGAAAAGAACCCCGGCGAGGGGAGUGAAAAAGAACCUGAAACCGUGUACGUACAAGCAGUGGGAGCACGCUUAGGCGUGUGACUGCGUACCUUUUGUAUAAUGGGUCAGCGACUUAUAUUCUGUAGCAAGGUUAACCGAAUAGGGGAGCCGAAGGGAAACCGAGUCUUAACUGGGCGUUAAGUUGCAGGGUAUAGACCCGAAACCCGGUGAUCUAGCCAUGGGCAGGUUGAAGGUUGGGUAACACUAACUGGAGGACCGAACCGACUAAUGUUGAAAAAUUAGCGGAUGACUUGUGGCUGGGGGUGAAAGGCCAAUCAAACCGGGAGAUAGCUGGUUCUCCCCGAAAGCUAUUUAGGUAGCGCCUCGUGAAUUCAUCUCCGGGGGUAGAGCACUGUUUCGGCAAGGGGGUCAUCCCGACUUACCAACCCGAUGCAAACUGCGAAUACCGGAGAAUGUUAUCACGGGAGACACACGGCGGGUGCUAACGUCCGUCGUGAAGAGGGAAACAACCCAGACCGCCAGCUAAGGUCCCAAAGUCAUGGUUAAGUGGGAAACGAUGUGGGAAGGCCCAGACAGCCAGGAUGUUGGCUUAGAAGCAGCCAUCAUUUAAAGAAAGCGUAAUAGCUCACUGGUCGAGUCGGCCUGCGCGGAAGAUGUAACGGGGCUAAACCAUGCACCGAAGCUGCGGCAGCGACGCUUAUGCGUUGUUGGGUAGGGGAGCGUUCUGUAAGCCUGCGAAGGUGUGCUGUGAGGCAUGCUGGAGGUAUCAGAAGUGCGAAUGCUGACAUAAGUAACGAUAAAGCGGGUGAAAAGCCCGCUCGCCGGAAGACCAAGGGUUCCUGUCCAACGUUAAUCGGGGCAGGGUGAGUCGACCCCUAAGGCGAGGCCGAAAGGCGUAGUCGAUGGGAAACAGGUUAAUAUUCCUGUACUUGGUGUUACUGCGAAGGGGGGACGGAGAAGGCUAUGUUGGCCGGGCGACGGUUGUCCCGGUUUAAGCGUGUAGGCUGGUUUUCCAGGCAAAUCCGGAAAAUCAAGGCUGAGGCGUGAUGACGAGGCACUACGGUGCUGAAGCAACAAAUGCCCUGCUUCCAGGAAAAGCCUCUAAGCAUCAGGUAACAUCAAAUCGUACCCCAAACCGACACAGGUGGUCAGGUAGAGAAUACCAAGGCGCUUGAGAGAACUCGGGUGAAGGAACUAGGCAAAAUGGUGCCGUAACUUCGGGAGAAGGCACGCUGAUAUGUAGGUGAAGUCCCUUGCGGAUGGAGCUGAAAUCAGUCGAAGAUACCAGCUGGCUGCAACUGUUUAUUAAAAACACAGCACUGUGCAAACACGAAAGUGGACGUAUACGGUGUGACGCCUGCCCGGUGCCGGAAGGUUAAUUGAUGGGGUCAGCGCAAGCGAAGCUCUUGAUCGAAGCCCCGGUAAACGGCGGCCGUAACUAUAACGGUCCUAAGGUAGCGAAAUUCCUUGUCGGGUAAGUUCCGACCUGCACGAAUGGCGUAAUGAUGGCCAGGCUGUCUCCACCCGAGACUCAGUGAAAUUGAACUCGCUGUGAAGAUGCAGUGUACCCGCGGCAAGACGGAAAGACCCCGUGAACCUUUACUAUAGCUUGACACUGAACAUUGAGCCUUGAUGUGUAGGAUAGGUGGGAGGCUUUGAAGUG